UACAACCCCAAACGCAGGCGCC
rnacentral:siRNA from 1 species